rfam:Candidatus Magasanikbacteria bacterium RIFCSPLOWO2_02_FTLL_44_11 rifcsplowo2_02_scaffold_7557, whole genome shotgun sequence.
GUGCCUAUGGUAUAAUGGUUAUUACGCGAGAUUGUGGCUCUCGCAAUACCGGUUCAAUUCCGGUUAGGCACC